ACUCAGCCAAGCAGGGCGACUCACCAGUUUUCAAAGAUAACUUCAGCUGUCUCUUUGGACUUCUUUACAACCUCAGAGUUUUUGGCUGGGCUUGUGAACAUCUAGAAUGGUAGGCAAGUCAUAUCCUUGCAGGACCUUUGCCUAAUAGGGAGUGGGAACCAUAAAGAAAUACCCUCCUCUACACUGGUCUCAGCCACACUGCAGAAAAGAGGCAAAAGAAUUGGAUGGCAAGAUUUCCAACGAGAAAAACAAAAAGACAACGCCUGACGGACACAUUGCCUGCCGAGGAGUAGAAGAAAUGGGAAAUAAGUUCAAUUUGCUGUGAAGAGACUUAAAGAAAAGGUAUUAGCAGCAGAAGGAAGUCAGUCUGGAGAGUAGGUUUUUGAGACUGAGUACAUUCAUCUGAGCUGUUAGCUGCUACGCUCCACUGCGUCCUUGUAUGAUCUGCCUGGUCCAGACCCCUGGAGAAAAUUUGUGCAUGCAUACUGUAUGUGAACUUUAGAUAAAUAAAUAAACACGCGAAACAGCUUCCAGAUAAUUGAAAGUGAAUGAAGGAGGGAGCAAAAAGAAAACAAUUUCUCGGGAUAAGCAGCGAA
rnacentral:lncRNA from 1 species